AUUGAACGCUGGCGGCAGGCCUAACACAUGCAAGUCGAGCGGAUGAAGGGAGCUUGCUCCUGGAUUCAGCGGCGGACGGGUGGGUAAUGCCUAGGAAUCUGCCUGGUAGUGGGGGAUAACGUCCGGAAACGGGCGCUAAUACCGCAUACGUCCUGAGGGAGAAAGUGGGGGAUCUUCGGACCUCACGCUAUCAGAUGAGCCUAGGUCGGAUUAGCUAGUUGGUGGGGUAAAGGCCUACCAAGGCGACGAUCCGUAACUGGUCUGAGAGGAUGAUCAGUCACACUGGAACUGAGACACGGUCCAGACUCCUACGGGAGGCAGCAGUGGGGAAUAUUGGACAAUGGGCGAAAGCCUGAUCCAGCCAUGCCGCGUGUGUGAAGAAGGUCUUCGGAUUGUAAAGCACUUUAAGUUGGGUGGAAGGGCAGUAAGUUAAUACCUUGCUGUUUUGACGUUACCAACAGAAUAAGCACCGGCUAACUUCGUG
rnacentral:rRNA from 1 species